rnacentral:sRNA from 1 species
GCUGGGUGUGGUGGGUCACACCUGUAAUCCCAGUGACUGGGGAGACUGAGGCAGGGGGAUCACAAGUUUGAGGCCACCCUCCAAAACUCAGCAAAGUCGUAGGCAACUUAGUGAGACCCUGUCUCAA